GAUGAACGCUGGCGGCGUGCCUAAUACAUGCAAGUCGAGCGAACGGACGAGAGGCUUGCUUCUCUGAUGUUGCGGCGGACGGGUGAGUAACACGUGGAUAACCUACCUAUAAGACUGGGGUAACUUCGGGAAACCGGAGCUAAUACCGGAUAAUAUUUUGAAACGCAUGGGUCAAAAGUGAAAGACGGUCUUGCUGUCACUUAUAGAUGGAUCCGCGCUGCAUUAGCUAGUUGGUAAGGUAACGGCUUACCAAGGCAACGAUGCAUAGCCGACCUGAGAGGGUGAUCGGCCACACUGGAACUGAGACACGGUCCAGACUCCUACGGGAGGCAGCAGUAGGGAAUCUUCCGCAAUGGGCGAAAGCCUGACGGAGCAACGCCGCGUGAGUGAUGAAGGUCUUCGGAUCGUAAAACUCUGUUAUUAGGGAAGAACAUAUGUGUAAGUAACUGUGCACAUCUUGACGGUACCUAAUCAGAAAGCCACGGCUAACUACGUG
rnacentral:rRNA from 1 species